UACAGAGGGUGCGAGCGUUAAUCGGAAUUACUGGGCGUAAAGCGCGCGUAGGCGGCUUUGCAAGUCGGGUGUGGAAAUCCCCAGGCUUAACCUGGGAACUGCAUUCGAGACUGCAUUGCUAGAGUAUGGGAGAGGGAAGUGGAAUUUCCGGUGUAGCGGUGAAAUGCGUAGAUAUCGGAAGGAACAUCAGUGGCGAAAGCGACUU
rnacentral:rRNA from 1 species